AUAAAAUGCCUACGUGAUGAGAUGAAUGACGGAGGCACAGUGACAGUGACGUAACGUUAGGCUACUACUGACUUUCUGACAAGAUGUCAGAAGGAAGAUGAUCUGCCUCCGGAUUGCCGCUGGUCUCAGAUAUUCCAGCCUGCAAAAAGCACCUGUUCUGGUCUGCUCCGGACAAGCCAGUAGCAGAGUGGUCAAGGUCCUGUCCCUGACAGGCCUGGAUUGGAUAUUGAUUUGCUAGGAGACUGUCUCCCGGGAAUAGUAGGCAGCUUAGAAAGGCUCCAAGCCCAGCAUGAAAUCAAGAGUCAGACACUUAGCCAACUGAGCCAUCCAGGCAUCCCAGAAAAAAGAGUUUAUUUUUAAGUAAUCUCUAUACCCAACAUGGAGCUUGAACUUACAGCCUUGAGAUCAAGAGUCACAUGUUCUACCAACGGAGUCAGCCAGGACUUCAAUCCUUUGGACUUGAACUUAUUUGGACUUAACUUGUAAGACCAUCCAAUUUUUUUAAAUUUCACUAUAAUUUCUCCCUGAAAUCUGGUCAUGGGAAGGGGUCUAUAUUCAGACACAAAGCAUCUUAUUGUUAAUAUAUUAUUAUGGGAGUAUCUUUAUGUUGUCAAAUUGUGGAACUUCUGAUGGGCUAUAUACGUGUUGUGGCCCUGAAAAUACACUGCUCAGAUCCCCUGCUGCAGGGAGCAUACCGUCAUCAUAUUCACGCAGAGGCCAUCCUUUCUGCUAACUGCUCCUAGCCAAUGACUGAGGAUGGCUGGGGUACUAGAGCAGGCGCUUUUCA